ensembl:misc_RNA 7SK 7SK RNA
GGAUGUAAGGGUGAUCUGGCUGCAACAUCUAUCUCCCCAUUGAUCACCAGGGUUGAUUCGGCUGAUCUGGCUGGCUAGGCGGGUGUCCCCUUCCUCCCUCACCACUCCAUGUGCAUCCCUCCCCAAGUUGCAUGCUUGGUCAAUGAGGAUGGCCUUCCCCGAAUAGAGACAGACUGGUCUUUGGUUGAGGGUAUAUGAGUAGCUGUGUUCCCCUGCUAGAACCUCCAAACAAGCUCAAUUUCGUUGGCUGUGAUGGGCCUGUUCAUAUUAUCUAGUUCCUCUUUAUUUAAUUUUGGAAGUUCUUAGGUAUCUAGGAAA